CAGACUCAGUGAGGCCAUGCUGAAUUCCCUCACACAAACCAGAGCUAAGAGCAGAAUGCUGCUGAAAAUCUGUGACCUGAAGACGGCUGUGCACAAGAAAUGCUCUCUAAAUCUGGCAGAUUUUGCCUGGUCAAGACAUAUUAUGCUGGUAGAUUUUUAACACAAGAGACUGAAUAUUGUGAUAAAAUCAAACAGUGCUGCAACAAAGUUUUAGUCAAGGGGUGUGCAUAUUCAUGCAACCGGGUUUUUUUCAUUUCUUAUUUUUUUUAUUAAGACCUCCCAAACAAUUUUAAAUCUACAAGGAAUUUUUCAGUUAAACAGUUUUUAUAACAAGUUAAAUCAAAGAGCAGAUCAUUCUUUGUGCUGGGAUGCUCGGUCUGUAGUGAAAAUCAAGGAGACACAGAUUUUUUCCAUCAGGGCUGGAAAGCUCACCGAGUCUGAAGGCUGACUUGCAGAGCUGAAACUCGUCACGCUGAUGGCGGCUGUGGUCUGGGCUGUUGGACGAGGGUGGAGGAGGCUCCCACAUCAACAGAUCGUUAUUAAUUCUUUUUUGGAAAAAGGGAAAGGACGCUCUGGAAGGCCUGCUUGCUGGGCAGGAGGAUGUAGGCCAGCGGCAGGCUGAUGUCCACAGCACACUGGCACUGAGCGACACACUGUGCCUGAAACUGACGCAUCUCCUCCGGAUCAGCUGGAAUCACCAUCUGGAACAAAGAAGGCGGAGAGUCGAGGAAAAUCAAGUCAGGUCCGUGAAGGAGGCCUCCAGCAGCUGAGUGAGGCAGGGAGCCCACGGCUGUCCAGGGGCAGUCUGCUCAGUCCGGAGGUCCGGAG